UACGUAGGGGGCGAGCGUUGUCCGGAAUCAUUGGGCGUAAAGAGCGCGUAGGCGGCCAGAUAAGUCCGGUGUGAAAGUCAAAGGCUCAACCUUUGAAUGCCGCUGGAAACUGUCUGGCUAGAGUCCGGGAGGGGCGAGUGGAAUUCCUGGUGUAGCGGUGAAAUGCGCAGAUAUCAGGAGGAACACCAAUGGCGAAGGCAGCUCGCUGGAACGGUACUGACGCUGAGGCGCGAAAGCGUGGGGAGCGAACAGG
rnacentral:rRNA from 1 species